UGCCCUAGUAACGGCGAGUGAAGCGGCAACAGCUCAAAUUUGAAAUCUGGCCUCACGGUCCGAGUUGUAAUUUGCAGAGGAUGCUUUGGGCGCGGCGCCUUCCGAGUUCCCUGGAACGGGACGCCACAGAGGGUGAGAGCCCCGUCUGGUUGGACGCCUAGCCUAUGUAAAGCUCCUUCGACGAGUCGAGUAGUUUGGGAAUGCUGCUCUAAACGGGAGGUAUAUGUCUUCUAAAGCUAAAUAUUGGCCAGAGACCGAUAGCGCACAAGUAGAGUGAUCGAAAGAUGAAAAGCACUUUGAAAAGAGGGUUAAAUAGUACGUGAAAUUGUUGAAAGGGAAGCGCUCGCGACCAGACUUGGGCCCGGCGGAUCACCCGGCGUUCUUCGCCGGGGCACUCCACCGGCCCAGGCCAGCAUCGGUUCGCCUCGGGGGAUAAAGGCGGUGGGAACGUAGCUCCCUCGGGAGUGUUAUAGCCCGCCGUGUAAUACCCUGCGGCGGACCGAGGACCGCGCAUUUGCAAGGAUGCUGGCGUAAUGGUCGUCAGCGACCCGUCUUGAAACACGGACCAAGGAGUCGUCUUCGUAUGCGAGUGUUCGGGUGGAAAACCCCUACGCGUAAUGAAAGUGAACGCAGGUGAGAGCUUCGGCGCAUCAUCGACCGAUCCUGAUGUUCUCGGAUGGAUUUGAGUAAGAGCAUACGGGGCCGGACCCGAAAGAAGGUGAACUAUGCCUGUAUAGGGUGAAGCCAGAGGAAACUCUGGUGGAGGCUCGCAGCGGUUCUGACGUGCAAAUCGAUCGUCAAAUA
rnacentral:rRNA from 1 species